UUUAGGACUUCUCGACAACCAUGAACUCUCCCUUGACAAAGAUGUAGUAAGCAAGGACCUUUGACAGCAAUAAUCCCUCCAAUUACGACACACAUUCUCCUUGGACGAAGGAUGCCACAACCAUGCACUCUCCCUCAACUACAACAAUCCCAAACACAUACAAACAACCCUUGACUAAGAACCCUCCAUGAAGAAGCCUUAAACUGUCGAGCAACACCCC
rnacentral:lncRNA from 1 species